GCAAUACCUCAGAACAUUUUCUCUCUGUAAACCCUAAACUACAUCGCCGCUUUCAUUCUUUUCAUAUCUCUGUGUUUUCUCCUCUCCAUUGAAGCCGCUUCGAUUCUUUGAGCUUUUUGGGGUAAUCAUGUUUUUGACAGCAAGAUCAGAGGCUUCUGCAACUGGUACAGUUAGAACUGCACAUAACCCCCCUUGAGCCUCUUCUCAUACCGCUAAUUUUAGGUGUUGUUGAUUGAGGCUUUAUGAGGGUGAAUUAGUGAAAUAGCUACACCUGGUGUUGAUCUAUGUAUUAUGUUGAUGUUGAUUUAGCUAUUUUUGGCCUACAAUCGCAUGGACAAGAGGCGAAGAGGCGUCGAUUUUCUCAUAAUCGAGAGAAGGAAGAAGGGCAGCGAUGAACUGGGUUCUGAUAGGAGUUUCAAGGGUAAGUUUUUGAUUUUUCUUUUGCUUAUCAUUCGAACAAAGCCCUAAUUCGCGGCUGGUGUCAGCAUUGGUACCCUAAUUCUCUUCUUUGAUUUGUACAUAAAUGGACUGACUCUAAAAGUUUCUUUUCAUUUGGAUUGAAAAUGUUGUUACUAAUUCUUUACGUUUGGUUAGUGUACAGGUUGGUGGAAGUAAUUCAACAGGUCAGAGUGGUGGUCUUUGCGUGGGUGGGGGCUGAAUCUUGGGUUUUGGACUGGUUGUGUCUUGGUGUGGGUGUGUUUUGGUGUCUAGCUGGUUCACCACUUGGGGAGUGGCUUCUGUGUAGUGUGUGUUUGGGUGCAACCUUCUGGGUGG